rnacentral:misc_RNA from 1 species
CCCUUCUAUCAGGGGGUUGGACGCAGUCUGCAGGGCGCUUGCCUUGUUUUCUGCCCCGCCCUUUCUGUAUAUACCCAUGUCUUUUGCGCACUCUUUGUUUCCUCGGCGGGCUUGCCUGCCGACAGGACAACGCUUAAACCUUUUGUAAUUGCAGUCAGCGUCAGAAAAAACAUAAUAAUUA